AAUUGGCGCAGGAAAGCUAGAGGUUAUUGUGGCGCUACAAGCUGAGAAGGGAGGAUCAUGGGCGUUGAUGUGCACACUAUUUCGCCGGGAAAUGGCGAGACCUACCCAAAACCUGGUCAGCAAGUGGUGGUACAUUACACAGGAACUCUAAUGGAUGGCAAGAAGUUUGAUUCUUCCCGAGAUCGUGGCAAGCCAUUUAAAUUCCGCAUUGGACAAGGAGAAGUCAUCCGUGGUUGGGAUGAGGGUGUUGCUAAGAUGUCUGUUGGUCAGACGGCAAAGUUGAUCUGCAGCCCUGACUAUGCCUAUGGUGAAAAAGGUUUCCCUGGUGUGAUCCCUCCAAAUGCCAUACUAACAUUUGAUGUGGAACUACUCUCUGUGGAGGCAUAAACACCUGCAAUGCGCUGCUGCCAGUUGGGUUGGGGAAGGCCAGUAUUAUCAGAUGAAGGAAAAUGGUACACUACGAAAAUUUUAACCAGAUGAACAAGAACCAAGAGAAAACAGGAUGAAGAACUGUGAAUGGAAGAUGUGGUGAAAGACAGCUUAUGAAUGGGAGGCGUCACACACUUCCACCUUCACUUAGGGUGAGGGAAUCACAACAAAUGAAUGAAUUAACACUAGAGGAAAGAGUUACUUUCAUAUUAAUGUACGGAGAGCUAAAUGCUUCACAAAAGAAUGUAAUCGACAACACCCAGGCAUGUGAAUGUUGUAGAUUAAAGCCUUUGCAACUGAUUAUUGUUUAGCUUUUUGGCUUUCCAUACAUGAAUACAGUAGUAUUAGAAUCAUUCUUUUUUCUCAUGUUAAUUUCUCUGACAUCUUCAUUGAUUUGCUAUGAAUUCUAUGGUGCUCGACUUAAGACACACCUAGUGUGUGUGUUUGUGUGUAAACAUGACUGAUACUAUGGUAUGACUCAUAAAUGUUCACUUUUUGGAGUUUCAUUAUGGCUAUAGUUUAUCACCUUUCCUUCAUUCCUCCAUAAGAAAUAUAUAUACCUGUAUACCUGUACAGUACAUGUUCAUUACAUAUAUAUUGUGGACUAUGUUAAACAAUUUUUGUCAUUUUUAUUUGGAGUGUUUCACAUUCAAUCCUGCCUUGGUCAAUUCUUCCAUACAGCAUCACAGUGAUCUACAUUAAACUAAUUUUUCUCUUCACCACACAACAUUUUUAGGGCCCCACACAGCAUUCAUCAUAUGCCUUGACCAUGGCCUCCAUUGUAGCAAACUAUUUUGUGAUUUGAAACUUUUUAUCUAAUUAGCUUAUGUACCUCAGACACACCCACAGAGGAAACGGUUUGACCAAUGUGAUUCAAUAUCUGUGUUGAGAACUCUACAAUGAUUUUGUGCUACAGCUGAUCAAACUUGGAAUUAAAACCAUUAAAUUGAUUCCAUAGACAAUUUAUCCUUAAUGUGAGAAAGUUAUUUAUAAUAUUCUUUGUUCAUGAAUGCUACUGCAUACUGUAUAUCAGGUACUGUAUAUACAAUGCAUUCUCAGACAGAUAUGGGAAAAAUCCUAUUGUGUUCUAUGCUGAAUACAAUAGAUCAAUGUACAAUACAGUAUUUUAUUAUACUGCAUUUCAUUUGUGGUUCUGUAUAUCUUGUAUGCAUUACCCUUAUAUUAAAUAAGGCUACAAGUACACUCCUAACACAGCUGGUGAUUUGCACAAGCAUUUCCUCAUUGCCAAGUCACUUGCCCUCUGUAAAGUAAUGCAUCACAUCCAAAGUAACUGCUAGGUUUCUUCUCUCUAGUUCACUUAUUUACACCAUCUACUUAUAUACAUAAAAUGAUGAGCAAUGAUUUACGAUGAUGUCUACAAACAUGUAACUUAAUACAGUGUGAAUUAUUUGUCUUUUCUGUCGUAUCUUAUAAAUAAGCCAAAUUGAAGUAAUAAGUGGAAUGUAAAUGGGGAUAAUUAUCAUUGUUUCCUUAAACUUAGAAUAUAAACUUUAACAUUUCUUUUCUUGAUGUAAAUAUACUUUUAAAUCACAGCUGAAAAAUUCCAGUACAAGAAAAGCUGUUUUUUCUAAUCAGUAAUAUCACAAAGUACUGUACAAUUUAACUACUGUACUGGAAUAUAUUUUCCUAUUCUUUAAUGUGUAAUACCUCUGAGACAAACCUUCAUUUUCCAUAUACUGUAUAUGUAAAUGAAACUACUGGAAAAGAACUGCAUAAUCUAAACAUGUUUUGACUAUAGGGUAUACAGUUAUGUGAAUUGGUGAAAAAACUACAACCGGGUGUAAGAAAAGAAGAUCCAUUUACUAACUGUUGUUUGUUCAGUCCUAACAUCACUUUACAUUCCAAUAGGUUAGCACGAGUAAGUGUACCCUAUUCAGCCUAACCUACUGUCAUUCACCUUCUCUCUUAAUAAAAUUUGAUCUUUGC
rnacentral:misc_RNA from 1 species